UUCUAUUAUUAUUAUUAUUAUUAUAAUUAUUAGAAGAAGAGAUACAGCUUUUGUUUCUUUGUUUUUGUAACCAGCAAGGUUAACAUGUUGGGAAACCUGAGGCCCCCAUGGCCUGGGCUGCACGUGAAAAACGAGAGUUCAAUCCGAAUCAGACAUGAGUGAGGUGUGGACUCUGACGCUCACAGCGAACGUCCGUCUCUGAUAAGACACGACACAGCGCUUUGAAGUGGGGGCCCCUCGAGACUCUCUGCUGACCACGGGAACCAGACAUGACCUUUGGGUUUUAAAAAAGACACCACCGGCCACCCCCUCCCUAUCCAGAGCAGCAGUGUAGACUCUCAGAAGCUCCCACCUCGCUGAUUACAACGUGAGGGAGGGCUGGGCUGACUCGUGGUGAGAACCAGAGUGGGGGAAAAUAAAUGGAGCAGAAGUGCACUUUUCUUUUGGAAUUAAUGAAACCCUGAGCGUAUAACCAGCACUUCAGGAAAUUAGCUUUGGUUGAGUUAGCAGGGGAGUGAAUAGGGCACACUCUUUGACACGUCUUAGCCCUUUAAGGGACUAAAUGGGGUACCCAUUAACUAUUAUUAAUGGGGUUUCAAGAGGAGAACGACAUUGGGUUCUGAUGGACACUGAGCCUAGCAUAAAGCAAAUAGCACCAUACCCAGAACUCCCACUUUGACGGGUUAACAACAGAACAAAGGCAGGCUUUUCUUUAACAGUAAUGAGAUAAUAUUUUCAGAAAUUCUUUUUUUUUUUAGAAAAAGCUAACAGCGUUCCAAAUUUGUAUUUGCGCGUGGUAGCACAGGAAAACAAAGUGCCCAGUGUAGUACCGGUAAUUAGUUAUUUGUUAUUUUUCAAACCAGUGUCCCAAAAGUGAUAGGGGUAGCCGAUGUGUUCACUGCCUCCAGGGUGCAGUGGCUGGUGUGUCCACAAGAGGGCGUAUUCUGAAAGUGGGGCUUGCAGGGCAGCAGCAGAGGCAGAUACAGCCAGAAAGAGAGAGAGAAACCAAGAGAGAAAGAAAGGCAGAGAGAAAGACAAACGAGUUGCUGAGAUCACUUUACCUCGAUCCUUCCCCUUGGAGAACCAUUGGCCCGGGCCACAUUACUCAUGCUCAAACGCCGGUGUUUGGCAUAUUAAUGCUCAUCGAGCUACUUAAUGAUGUGGAAUCAUUUAAAACCAACAGUGUAUUCUACGCUAAGCGGCUAAAUGAUAUCGAUUUUUCCUCAUCUUCUUCUGCUUCCUCCUCAUCUCAUCAUCCCCCCCUUUUUAUCAAUCAUAAAUCAACUCUCGCCUUUCCUUUCCUCAUCUUCUCCUAAGUGGGGUUUUUCAUUGGCCGAAAAAAGAAAGAGAAAUUAAGAAUGGGAGGGACGGGCGCGAUGGCUUUGGCCUUUUUGGAAACCCCAGUGGUGUCGCUAAUUACACACCCCCUCUUCUCUGGAUGGCUUUGGCCCACGGCCCGUCGUUCGUUCGUUGCCUCAGAUGGAUUCAAAGCGUUUCCUCUUAUCCGCCCAUCUAUAAUCAAACGGCGACAGAAGCAGCGCGUCCCUCCUGUGCUCUCUAUCCUUCGUCGGCGCUGUGCUCUUGUUCUUCAUCCGGCCCUUCAUCGUUAUCGCCUCCCAUUGUCUCUGCGUGGGCCGCCGUCCCCUCCGUUUAGGGCGCUCUCCACCUCCGGCUCCAGCGCAUGCCGUUCGUUUAAUUGGACGUAAAGAGGAAUUGAAAAUAAUGAAAGCGUCCCCCUUGAGGACAAUGAGAGACUGCUUGAUGGAAGCCUUGUGGAAAGCGUAAAUACGGUGGGAUUAACGGCGAAUUCAAAUGGCGCAAUAAAUGUGGAGAAAGCCGGAUCAGUGAAGUGGUGGAAGGUUAUACACUAUUCUGUGGAAAGAUAACGGAUAUGAGAAAAAUAAAAGAUUGAUCUCGCUCUGCCGGGAUUUUAUCAGUUUGCUUUCUCCGGGGCUGCCUGGCUCUCAUUGUGUGUGUGUCACUCUUGCUCUCCCCGUCUCUCUCUCAAGGCCUGUCACUGCCAGUGUCUCUCCCUCUGUCUCCCUCUGUCUCCUCACCUCUAGUCCCAGCAUGAGUUCAAUUAAACCACCGUCUGACUCCCAUGCCCCUGGGCGCCCGGGUAUUGGCCAUCCCCUGAAAGGUCCUCAUUAUGCGCCCCUUAAAAGAAAAUACUUUUAUUUGCUUUGACAAGAUUUUAUUUGGGCUUAAAGUUUUCCCACCAAACACCACCGCCCGCCGUCCCCACCACCAGUCCCCCCAACACACACAUACACACACCAACUCCAAUCAUCCCGCUUCAUAAUCCUCAUCCAAAAAAGGGAGGGAAAUAUGCAGCCCCUAUUUCCACCAGGCCGAAUCAAUGUCAUGCUUGGAGAUGACAGUAGGGAGCGAGAGAGAGAGAGAGAGAGUGAGUAAGAGGGAGCAGGGAAAAGAGAGAGGGAAGGACAGAGAAGGAAGAAAGUUUGGGAGAGAGAGAGACGGACACAAAUAUUGUACUCAAACUGCAUUUAAAAAUAUAUAUUUUAUUUUAAAUAUACAUGAAGUUCAUCGAAGAACAAACCAGACUGCGAUGGUAGGUGUGGCAAUGUGGCGCUUAUCAGUGCCGGAACGUGAUUUGUGCCAAGCUGUGUCGUUCUCAACCUUGUUGGAGGGUAUUGCGUAUAAGCUGUUUUCAAUGUGAGCAAUAUUUCCGAUCCAGACUAAUCUGUAUGCAUAGGUUUUUCUCUAUUUGACUUCCCGAUCAACACAUGCCAAGUCACAUCUCCUGUGGUCACAGCAUAGAGUCUAAAUAUUAUUUUUCUGCUGUCUGGGUUUCCAAUGUCGAUUUCACCAUGCAGUACUGUCCGUCCCAACCCUAGCCUGACCUCUGCUUGACCUUGACCUGCUUCGACCAGAGGUAUGACCGACUGCUCUGUUGCCCCGUUGCCAAACCAAGGUUCUGACCGGUUAUGCAUCCGAUAAUAACCGCUUCCUGUUGCGUGUCGUUUGGAACGUAUCACCACAUUUCCAUAAUCCCAAAACAGAAAAAACCUGAAGCUUUACUCUUCGUUUUGUUUCUUUAGCUUUAAAUUCUGUUGUGGUUGUUUUUUUUGUUUUUGUUUUUAAUAAUCACUUUGUGUUUUGGAUAAUUGAAUCAGACCAAACAUGUCAGUUCAGACUAUUACAAUGUAUCUCACCAAUCAGUGAAUGUUUAUUUUUGUUGUUUUCUUGGGGUGGGGGGGAGGGAGGGAUGGAGGGAGACAGGAAAUUGCCUUACACUUUAUGCAGUAUUGAAAAAGCAGCUGCAUUUAUUUUUAAGGACUUCAUAGUGGUAAACCAACAAAAAAAAAGCAGAAAUAUAGACGGGCAGGGAAGAAAUCAACCAACUUAACUGAUAGAAAGCACAUGUAUUCGGUUGGAGAUAAGCUGCGCCGACGUCAUCCACAAUAACAGUAUUAGCAGCGAUGAAAAAAAGCAAAAAGUCCACAGAAAGAGAGUAGGAUCGGCCCUAACUGACUGUUGGUGCUCUCAGAGCGGUGUGAGGCUAACGAUCGAGGCGGUCUGAAGAAUAGCUCGGCGGCUUCUUUCACAGGAAACAUUACUCUUCAUUUCCACUCUGUGCGGUGAGAGAACAUGGUUGUGGUGCCGUGACCAAUGGAAUUACACAAAACGUAUUCCCAUCUGAGACAGGCCGUUUAUUACUUUUAUCAGGGUGCCCGAGAACUAAUCCUUCCCCUUAUAGCUCAUUGAUUCACGUUUUAAAUAAUUAUGUUUAAUGACUGAGAGGUCAACUUAGACAAAGUGUUCACGUGGACGAAAUGUAAUACGUUUAAAGUCAUCUUUUUUUUUGAAGCAGACUCGCUCAUGUUUAACUUUUUCUUAAGGCAAAAACCAUCCAUUGCAUAUAGGCCGCUAGUGAUCAGCUUUUAUUCAACGAUUUUCGCAUGUUAUUUCCUUUUUCUUGACCUUGUUUCUGGUGAGCGGUAGGUAAGUAGGUUUUUGAUAACUGGCCAAUUCAAAUAAAGGUUAUGCAUUCCCCGUGAGUCGAGCAACGCAUUCUACCCUUUUACCUCCAACAAUUGGCAUACACGGCCAAAAUAUAAUCAGUCCAUCAAACAGGAACAAUGUCCAAGACAUGAAAAGAAGCAGUCAGACCCACAGACAGAGGUUGCAUGAAAUGUGGUAGUGUUUGGGGUGAUAAAUCAUCCUGGAAUAUGAUUAAGACAUCUGCGUAUUGCGGUAACUAUUCAGAGGAGUUUUUCCAAGGCGCCAAAGUAACUUUUUUUUGUUCUCAUAAAGAAAUAUUGGUGUUGUUCCAUGUAUGUGCCUUGAGGUUGAACUUACAAUGUAAAGUCCUUGAAAACCUUUAAAUGUUUUUGCACAAAAUGUAAAUACUUAAGUGAAGCUUUUUGCAAAUAAAAGAGCCAUGGGAUUUAAAAUGGCCCAUAUUAGUGUUUUUCAGACAUGCAUUUUAUGAAGCCUCUGAGAACUGGUUGUUGAGUGUGUGUUUGUUUGUGUAUAUGUGUGUGUGUGUGUGUGUGUGUGUGUGUGUGUGUGUGUUUGCGCGUGCGUGCAUGUGGGAGUGUGUACGCAUCUGCCAAUUUUCAUGGUUUUCUUGUUUUCCUGCUGGCCUGUUUGUAUUUAAACUGUCAAAG
ensembl:lncRNA